UUAAGAAUUUGGUAAAUAGAUUUUGUUGAUGAAGUUGUAUAUACAAUGAAAGAGAUGAUGUUAUUAUGAAUCAUGGAGGAGAAAAUUAGGAAUCGAAGUAAUAAUCAGGGAGAAACAAUUUUUGAUUACAAAUUUGUAGCGAUAUGGAGGUUAUUAUAGGAUAAAUUGAAGGGUUUUUGAUGAAUUUUUGAAUUUGAGUGUAAAAUAGAGAUUAGAGAUCGUUUUCGUUGAUGAUGUAGGUUACUGGUGAAUUAGCGUUUGAGAUUGUUUCUGAAAUAGAAGAAGAAAUUGAUGAUGGUUAUCUGGAUUUAGAAGUUGAAGAGGGUGAUAAUGCUGUCGAGAUAAGUGGAAGAACAAAAAAAGAUGUUCUGAAACUGAGAUAAAAAUUAGGGCAAAUAUGGACAGAGAUGGGGAUGAGAAGACUAAACGCAACAGUGUUUGAGUAAGAGGAUGGUGAUUCAGUACUAGUGGUGAACAAAAUGGAUUACAAGAACUGCAACACGACGAAUUCGAUAUCUGCUUUUGACGAUGGAAAGACUGUUUUCAUGUUAACUAAACCAGGGAUGAUCUAUGUUAUCAGUGGAAAAUCAACUUAUUGCAAGAAUGGGGAGUAGUUAAUCAUCAGUGUUAUGACUAUUCAUCCUCCUACUCAUCAUCACCAGUCUCCACCAACAGUUUCUGAUUUGCCUUCAGUUUCACCAACUAGUUCGACAACUAAAUACUCUUCGGGAGCCUCAGUCAUGGUGAGAAGUGAAAAUGGGUGCGCAGGUGAAAAAGAAUGGUAAUGGACUGAAAGGUUACUGACAUGGUUUUGAAGAUAUGCAGGACACAAUGGCUUGAUACUGAAAUGAACGGGUUGUGUAUGGUUUUGAAGCUGAAGGACACAAUGGAUUGAUACUUAAAUGAAUGGGUUGUGGUGUUUUAGCUAAUGGUGUUGUUGUAGAUGUUGCAAUAGUAGUGUAUGUUAGAUUAUGAGUUGUAGGUGGCGCUGAAAAAUAUGAGCUGGAGAUGUUAGAUUUGGUUGCUGAUACAGAAGGAAAUGGAGCUGUGAAUAGUGAUUCAGUUU